rnacentral:rRNA from 1 species
UACGUAGGUGGCGAGCGUUGUCCGGAAUUAUUGGGCGUAAAGCGCGCGCAGGUGGGAUCUUUAGUCCACUUUAAAAGUGCGGAGCUUAACUCCGUGAAGGGGUGGAAACUGGGAUUCUUGAGUACCGGAGAGGAAAGCGGAAUUCCCCGUGUAGCGGUGAAAUGCGUAGAUAUGGGGAGGAACACCAGUGGCGAAGGCGGCUUUCUGGACGGUGUCUGACACUGAGGCGCGAAAGCCAGGGGAGCGAACGGG